CCUCUUCUCUUUCCACAUUUGGUGAUAUGGGUGCAUGCCACAUCCUCCACCGGCUUGGGUAAUCGCGUCUGAACAGUUGAUGGACCCUUGUGAGGCCUAGGCUAGAGGAGUCUUCGUCUGACGCGCUGCACAUCUCAUCUUUUUGUCCGGCUGGCCACUUUUACUCUAUGAAUUUGAUUACCCUUAUAUGAGUUAUGUCUCUAGCCGCACGUUGCUGAGAAUAUAGUUUUUGGUAAGCAGCUCUUCCAUUCUCCAAAUUUCUACAACAUCUUAUCCAUUUUUUUUCACAGCUCUAGUUUAAUUCUGGUAGAUAAGAAAUAUACAUUUGAUGUAUAAAGCUUUUUCAUUAGAAAAAUAUUAAAGAGUUUAUCACAUUCAUUUCC
rnacentral:lncRNA from 1 species